rnacentral:rRNA from 1 species
GAAUCCCGUCUUUGACAUGGACUACCUGUACACUGUGGUACGCUCUCGAAGAGUCGAGUUGUUUGGGAAUGCAGCUCAAAAUGGGUGGUAAAUGCCAUCUAAAGCUAAAUAUUGGCGAGAGACCGAUAGCGAACAAGUACCGUGAGGGAAAGAUGAAAAGAACUUUGGAAAGAGAGUUAAACAGUACGUGAAAUUGCUGAAAGGGAAGCGCUUGAAGUCAGUCGCGUCGGCUAGAAAUCAACCUUGCUUUUGCUUGGUGUACUUUCUUGUUGAUGGGUCAGCAUCAAUUUUGACCGUUGGAUAAAGUCGUUGGGAAUGUGGCAUCUUAGGAUGUGUUAUAGCCCAUCGUCGCAUACAGCGGUUGGGAUUGAGGAACUCAGCACGCCCUUCUGGGGACGGGUUUCGACCACGUUUCGUGCUUAGGAUGCUGGCAUAAUGGCUUUAAUCGACCCGUCUUGAAACACGGACCAAGGAGUCUAACAUGCCUGCGAGUGUUUGGGUGGAAAACCCAUGCGCGCAAUGAAAGUGAAAGUUGAGAUCCCCUCAAGGGGAGCAUCGACGCCCGGACCAGAGCUUCUGUGACGGAUCCGCGGUAGAGCAUGUAUGUUGGGACCCGAAAGAUGGUGAACUAUGCCUGAAUAGGGUGAAGCCAGAGGAAACUCUGGUGGAGGCUCGUAGCGAUUCUGACGUGCAAAUCGAUCGUCAAAUUUGGGUAUAGGGGCGAAAGACUAAUCGAACCAUCUAGUAGCUGGUUCCUGCC